GUGCUCACUUCGGCAGCACAUAUACAAUAGUUGGAAGGAUACAGAGAAGAUUAGCAUGGUCCCUGUGAGAGGAUGACAUGCAAAUUCCUGAAGUGUUCCAUAUUAAA
rnacentral:snRNA from 1 species